rnacentral:sRNA from 1 species
GAUGCCAGGGUCAAAAGCCUGAAACCACGAUGUGCUUGCACAAGAGUGGUUUUAUGGCUUAAUGACCCACCCCGAUAUGAGCAUAAAAGUGGAGCGUAAGCUUCACGAUAUGCGAAUAUUGGAUAGAAUUGUGGGAGUACGAAGUACGGAACAAUUCGUAUG